rnacentral:rRNA from 1 species
GUUGUUGCAGUUAAAAAGCUCGUAGUUGAACUUCGGGGUUUACUCAUUGGUCAGGCUUAAUUGUCUGUACUGGUGAGAUGAAUCUCUACCUUCUGAGGAACUUUCAUGCCAUUUAGUUGGUGUGAUUGGAAAUCAGGACUGUUACUUUGAAAAAAUUAGAGUGUUUAAAGCAGGCUAACGUCUGAAUACAUUAGCAUGGAAUAAUGAAAUAGGACGGAUUGGUUCUAUUUCGUUGGUUUCUAGGAUCACCGUAAUGAUUAAUAGGGAUAGUUGGUGGCAUUAGUAUUCAAUUGUCAGAGGUGAAAUUCUUGGAUUUAUUGAAGACUAACUACUGCGAAAGCAUUUGCCAAGGAUGUUUUCAUUAAUCAAGAACGAAAGUUAGGGGAUCGAAGACGAUCAGAUACCGUCGUAGUCUUAACCAUAAACUAUGCCGACUAGGGAUCGGAUGAUGUUAAUUUUUUAAUGACUCAUUCGGCGCCUUACGGGAAAC